rnacentral:rRNA from 1 species
AACGUACGCUGGCGGCACGCCUAACACAUGCAAGUCGAACGAAGUAGCAAUACUUAGUGGCAGACGGGUGAGUAACAUGUAGGUAUCUGCCCUUUGGCCUGGAAUAACACGAGGAAACUUGUGCUAAUACCGGAUAAGUCUUUACGGAGAAAGCUUUAUGCACCAUUGGAUGAGCCUGCACUUGAUUAGUUUGUUGGUGGGGUAAUGGCCUACCAAGACUGUGAUCAAUAGCUGAUUUGAGAGGAUGAUCAGCCACAUUGGGACUAAGACACGGCCCAAACUCCUACGGGAGGCAGCAGUGGGGAAUCUUGCACAAUGGAGGAAACUCUGAUGCAGCGAUGCCGCGUGAGUGAAGAAGGCCUUUGGGUUGUAAAGCUCUUUCGUCGGGGAAGAAAAUGACUGUACCCGAAUAAGAAGGUCCGGCUAACUUCGUGCCAGCAGCCGCGGUAAUACGAAGGGACCUAGCGUAGUUCGGAAUUACUGGGCUUAAAGAGUUCGUAGGUGGUUGAAAAAGUUGGUGGUGAAAUCCCAGAGCUUAACUCUGGAACUGCCAUCAAAACUUUUCAGCUAGAGUAUGAUAGAGGAAAGCAGAAUUUCUAGUGUAGAGGUGAAAUUCGUAGAUAUUAGAAAGAAUACCAAUUGCGAAGGCAGCUUUCUGGAUCAUUACUGACACUGAGGAACGAAAGCAUGGGUAGCGAAGAGGAUUAGAUACCCUCGUAGUCCAUGCCGUAAACGAUGUGUGUUAGACGUUGGAAAUUUAUUUUCAGUGUCGCAGCGAAAGCGAUAAACACACCGCCUGGGGAGUACGACCGCAAGGUUAAAACUCAAAUGAAUUGACGGGGACCCGCACAAGUAGUGGAGCAUGUGGUUUAAUUCGAAGAUACGCGCAGAACCUUACCAACACUUGACAUGUUCGUCGCGACUCUAAGAGAUUAGAGUUUUCGGUUCGGCCGGACGAAACACAGGUGCUGCAUGGCUGUCGUCAGCUCGUGUCGUGAGAUGUUGGGUUAAGUCCCGCAACGAGCGCAACCCUCACUUUUAGUUGCCAUCAUUAAGUUGGGCACUCUGAAAGAACUGCCAGUGAUAAGCUGGAGGAAGGUGGGGAUGACGUCAAGUCCUCAUGGCCCUUACGUGUUGGGCUACACACGUGCUACAAUGGUAUCUACAACAGGAAGCAAGACUGCGAAGUUAAGCAAAUCCCUAAAAGAUACCUCAGUUCGGAUUGCACUCUGCAACUCGAGUGCAUGAAGCUGGAAUUACUAGUAAUCGUGGAUCAGCGUGCCACGGUGAAUGCGUUCCCGGGUCU